rnacentral:rRNA from 1 species
AGUGAACGCUGGCGGUAGGCCUAACACAUGCGAGUCGAACGGCAGCACAGUAAGAGCUUGCUCUUACGGGUGGCGAGUGGCGGACGGGUGAGGAAUACAUCGGAAUCUACUUUUUCGUGGGGGAUAACGUAGGGAAACUUACGCUAAUACCGCAUACAACCUACGGGUGAAAGCAGGGGAUCUUCGGACCUUGCGCGAUUGAAUGAGCCGAUGUCGGAUUAGCUAGUUGGCGGGGUAAAGGCCCACCAAGGCGACGAUCCGUAGCUGGUCUGAGAGGAUGAUCAGCCACACUGGAACUGAGACACGGUCCAGACUCCUACGGGAGGCAGCAGUGGGGAAUAUUGGACAAUGGGCGCAAGCCUGAUCCAGCCAUACCGCGUGGGUGAAGAAGGCCUUCGGGUUGUAAAGCCCUUUUGUUGGGAAAGAAAAGCAGCAGGUUAAUACCCCGCUGUUCUGACGGUACCCAAAGAAUAAGCACCGGCUAACUUCGUG